GGCCAGACUCCUACGGGAGGCAGCAGUGGGGAAUAUUGGGCAAUGGGCGAAAGCCUGACCCAGCAACGCCGCGUGAAGGAAGAAGGCUUUCGGGUUGUAAACUUCUUUUGACAGGGAAGAGCAGAAGACGGUACCUGUCGAAUAAGCCACGGCUAACUACGUGCCAGCAGCCGCGGUAAUACGUAGGUGGCAAGCGUUGUCCGGAUUUACUGGGUGUAAAGGGCGUGUAGCCGGGCUGACAAGUCAGAUGUGAAAUCCGGGGGCUCAACCCCCGAACUGCAUUUGAAACUGUUGGUCUUGAGUAUCGGAGAGGCAGGCGGAAUUCCUAGUGUAGCGGUGAAAUGCGUAGAUAUCACGAAGAACUCCGAUUGCGAAGGCAGCCUACUAAACUGCCACUGACAUUGAUGCUCGAAAGUGUGGGUAUCAAACAGGAUUAGAUACCCGUGUA
rnacentral:rRNA from 1 species